UGCAUUCACUACUGUAAGUUGCUCUAGAUAAGAGCGUCUGCUAAAUGACGUAAA
rfam:Salmo salar isolate Sally breed double haploid chromosome ssa20, whole genome shotgun sequence.